CUGCGGCCCCAACCCCCCCGCCCCCCUCCCUGCGCCCUCACCGGCCAGGGGCUGACCCCGCUGGGAGGCCGGGCUUCAGCCGGGGUUAGGGAGACCCUGCUUCCCGCAGCCCCCUCCCUCCUGGCCGGAGCCCGACGGCUCCCCUCUCCCGGGCAAAGUGGGGGCCGCCUUCCAAGGUGACGGGGCCCCGACGACGCGCGCCCGGCCCGGGCAGGGAGGCCGCCCCCCGCCCCCCGCCCCCCACGGCGGCUCCCCUGCUUGCGGGCGCCGGGCCCUCGGGUGAGGCCGUCUCUGUAGGGGUCGCGGGCGGCGGGGAGGCGGGGGCGGGGUGCGCGGGGAGGCGGCAGGCCCCCCACGCUGGGCUCCCCACGCGCGGCUCCCCACGCUCGGCUCCCCGGCGGCCGCAGCAGGUGGGGGCCCGGGGGCGGGGCCGGCGCGGGGCGGAGCCGGCGGCGGCGGCGGCGGCGGCGGCUGCGGCGAGCGCGGGGCGGGGGCGGGGGCGGGAGCGGAGCCGGAGCCGGAGCCGGAGCCGGGGCGCGGGGCGGGGGGCGGGAGCCGCGAGCCGCGCAGUCCGGACGCCCGCGGGAGCUCGCCGCGCGCCGGGGCCGGGACCUGCCUGGCCGAGCGCGCCGGCGCCGCGACCUCAGACAAAGGCGCCGCCUGCGCCGGGGCCGCCGCGCUCUCGGGCUCCGCUCUGGGGGCCCCUUUUCCAGCUCUGUCACAGAGCUGAGGACGCUCUCACGCAGAACUGGAUCCUGGAGCAGAGAAGGCCCAGAGGUCGGUGAUUGCACCUGUCCUCGUGGAUCAGUCCGAUGUUACACCAGGAAUCCAGUGGAGGAAAUGUCAUAGGCCUUCGGAUCCACCUGCCCAUCUUAGGAUUUAAAAUCCUCUCUAGAACAUUCCUGUGAAAUCAUACUCAGACUUGUGACCACAGACGUUUACCUACCGCCCAUCCAUCUUGUGCUCCAGCUCCGUGACUACCCUUGUUUAGAUGCUCCUGACAUUGUAGCACCGAGUGCCAGAGCCCUCAUACCACCUGUGACAGAUUGUUGCCUCUCCUGGAACAUGUCCCACAGCAGGGAGCUCACUGCUUUGUGAGGAGCCGGCCAUUCCUUUGGGCGAGAGCAUGCACUUACUUGCAAACUUUCUUCUUUGAGCCUGAAACUAACUUUCUUUCUUUCUCUUUCUUUCUUUCUUUCUUUCUUUCUUUCUUUCUUUCUUUCUUUCUUUCUUUCUUUCUUUCUUUCUUUCUUUCUUUUCUUUCUUCUUUCUUUCUUUCUUUCUUUCUUUCUUUCUUUCUUUCUUUCUUUCUUUCUUUCUUUCUUUCUUCGUUUCUUUCUUUCCUUUCAUUUUUAUUUAUUCCUGAGAGACAUAGAGAGAGAGAGAGGCAGAGAUACAGGCAGAGAGAAAAGCAGGCUCCAUGGAGGGAACCUGAUGUGGAACUCAAUCCCAGGACCCUGGGGUCAUGCCCUGAGCCAAAGGCAGAUGCUCCACUGCUGAGCCACCCAGGAGUCCCCUGAAACUUUCUUUUUUUUGAUCUGUAAGUAAGGUGUGUGCAUGUGUGCUCCCUGCAGCCCUUUUUACCCCCUGCACCAAAUCCACCUGUAUCUCUAGCAUUAACAUGUUCAGCUCCCCUGACCCUUCGCGUGGUGACACCCCCGUUCUGCUGGUCAUCAUUGUCUGAGCUUCUUUGGCUUUAAAGAAGGUAUACUUACCCAAGUGAGUAAACCAAACUAGUUACAGUACCCUGCACCUGCUCUCACUAUACUCCCCCCACCCCCCUUUAUCCCUCAUUUCACUUUUAAAACUGAACAGGAUACCCUGAAAAAGGGCUUGAGUGAUGUGGGGGAAAAUAAGAGGAGGAAGAUACACAGGCUCUGAAGUCAUAUUUUUCUUCAUAUAGGUCUGUGGUAAGAUGGCUUUUGCCAUGGUGAUUCCGAUGUUAAUCUGGGGUCCUCUAAGACCCUCAGGCCUUUUCCGGUGGCCAUGCCUGUCCUUUGUAUCUCAUAAUAAAACUGAGGGUAAAGGCUGUGUCUUUUAUUUAUUCCUGCUAAUUUCCCUUGUCUUGGAGGACACUUGUGUUUUUGAAUUAUCUCUAAAAUGUAUCGCGGUGCUUUUAAAAUCUCUAUCUGUAGAGGUGUUAGAGACCACAAGUAACGAGGAACCAUUUACAAGCCUGACAAGGAAACAUUUGCUCGGCUUAUGAGAGCGUCAUCAUCGUACUGGGGUGAGCCCAUGUGGGACAGGUGCUUGAAGAGAUAGAUUAGGAUUUAAAAAAUCCCAAACCUGGAGAGAAAAUACAAAGACUGUGACCUAUAAAAAUACUGUCGGAAAAAAAAAAAAAAUACUGUCGGAAAGCCAGUGUGCAGGGGCGCCUGGCUCAGUGGUUCAGCAUCUGACUCUCGGUGUCACCUCAGGUCAUGAUCUCGGGGUCAUGAGCUCGAGCCCCGCUUCUGGCUCGGCACUGGUUAUGCAGCCUGCUCGAGAUUGUCUCUCUCCCUCCCCCUUUGUCCCCACGCCCCCAAAAAAGAGAAAGUCGGUGUGCUGGACACUUGCCGUCUCAGGCUCCGGGCGGGGUAACUGCCUCCCUACAGCAUGUCUUUCUGCGCCCCAAGGAAGCUAAAGUCUGCACGUUACCACUGCAAGCAGGUGAAUAUAAGUGCAAAAUGUCUUAUUCUAAUGAGGAUGCCCCCCCCCCCCCCCCGCAAAGAGAAAGAGGUAUUUGAAGGAUCUUUCGAGUCGACAUAAAAACUCGACCUUCUGUGAACCUGGGUUAACAUCCAGGCAGAGCAUCCUGGCCUAAGGGGUACGAGCUCCUACAUGCUGUACCGGGCAGUCUGCAAAUAGGGUAUUUGUUACUCCUUCAUUAGAAGGAAUGAAAUGAUCAGCCAUGGGCUGUUUUUCUGUGAGUCAUGAUGUCUACUCAGCAGGUGAACGGGCUCAUCAGGUCCCGGGCGUUCACAUGACGCUGGACGUGGGCUCUGACUGCCCCAGGGAGGUGAGUACAGCUCGGGGGUCUCUGGUGGCUGCCCUCCUCUCCAGUCUUGCCAGUGGUUCUUUCUCCCUCGGUGCAGCCAACACACUCGCCCUCAGGGAAAUUUCUCGUUUGUAGCCAUGGUGGCCUUUUCCCAGAGCCGGGAAUGUGAGCUCCCUCUCUCCUCCCACAGUCCUUUCUCUCUGCCUGGCUGGAGGCUGGAGCCAUGGGGGCCUGGCAGGAGAGGAGGCUGGGCCCUGCCGCCAGCUGCCGGCUGUGAAGCAGAGCUGGGUCCUGGCUCUCCCGGGGAAUGCAGGCUGUGCGGCGGCGUUAUUUGGCUUGGCAGACGUCACCAUGCAUCUCACUUUUGCUGAGGCCUGAUCACUUGCUGAAUAUUUAUUUGUCCUGAGGAUUAUUUAGUUAUCCUCAGGAAUCUGGGCUCUCUGGCCAGCUUUUCUCCUUUGUCCUGGGUUCCCGAUGGGGAAUGUGACUGACCCCUUCCUUCUCUUUUAGGACGGAUCUCAGUGAUCAUCCAGUUGGAAGCAUUACAAGCAGAAAGCAAAAGGGAACCCAGGAGGAUGUGGGACUUUUGCUAAAAGACAGCCGCAGAGCUAAGACUAGAACUUGGAUCUUCUGAUUGCAAACCCAGAGUUCUUUCUAGAAUCUCUCAGACUUCUGGGCGUAUAAUCCCCUGAGGAACUUACUUAAUAAGAUGCAGACUCUUAGGUCCCCUCUUUGGAAAUUCUGGCGUGCAAUCUGCCUGUGGAAUGCGCCUCUUUACAAUCCGAGGUGCCCUGCGUGCACUAAGAUGAAACUGGCUUCUCAGCAUUUACUUUGUUUGUUUGCACACGGGGCGGGAAGUGGGGCUACAUAGUUCACUAUGAAGAUCACUCUGCACCCCUACUCAUUUUUCGGAAUCAGCACAAAGAACCAGAACGACACUAACAUAACUUAAAGGAAGAAGAAAAAUCCACCUGUAGGCCUCCCCGACCCCACCCCCCCCCCGCCCAUCUACUUUCCUUCCCCCUUUGGAGACGUUAUCUGUGUAGUUAGGUAACUAUCGACUUAAUCAUUAUGCCAUCUUAUUUUUACUUCUUUUGAGUCAAGUAGCCUUUUUGUUAUGGGACUUGCUAGGAAACAGGGUCCUUGGAGGCUAUUAAAGAGGAAGAGCAGUAUUUAAUUUUAUUGACCGCUCGUUACAUGACUGGAGCCUGUGUUCAGUGCUUUUGUAUGUGUUCACUCACUUAAGCACAUCACGGAGGCCCUAUGAUGACCAUUUUCCAGAUGGGCAAACCAAGCCUUGGAAGGGCUAAGUAGCUCGCACCUAGUUUUCUGGGUAGUUGGCAAUAAAGCUGAGAUUCAGACCCUCUGACUUCUUCACUGUGGGGCCUUCCAAACCUGCAGGCAGAGAGAGAAGAUGCCUGCCCCUGAGGACCUUUGGAUCCCAGGGAGGGAAAUGGACCUGGUCCUUGUGGCAGAGAGGUGCUGACAGGUCUGGGAGCAAGCGACUCUGUGAACUGAAAAGUCAGGAGAGCCUCAGUCCACCACAAAGUCAUGGAUUUUGGCCGACUCCCCACGCUGACCGUUUGCUUUAGCCGCUAAAGGUUUGAGGUUUGACUCUUGUCUCCAUCCAGAGCUGGUGGUCAGCGCCACCAGGAGCCCACACAGUGGCAGAGAGGGAUGGCGAGCUGGAGAAUUGAGCUCUUGAUAAUUCAGGUACAGAUGCCGCCAGGAGCAGAGUUUUCCCUGGAAGUGAAACCUGCAUUGUCCCCGGUAGGCUGGCUCUUGCCAACACCUUUCUUAAGAUUUCCCUGGAGUUUCUUCAGUUUCUUUCUUUGCCAAGUGUGCACGAGACUUUAUGUCUGUGGUGUCCAUGUGGCACAACGUUAGAGAUGCCAUCAUUCGAAGAGCAACUCCUUCCCGCCCGGAUGUCCACCGACACUUACUGCCCGUGUCCGGCUCUGAGUCCCCGCUGUGGGCCGUUGAGGGCCUCUGGGGAGACAGGAUGUGCGCAUAGUACCAGUUAACCCUGGAGUCCACGGUGGCCUCGGGGGACU
rnacentral:lncRNA from 1 species